rnacentral:tRNA from 2 species
GGGGCGAUAGCUCAGUUGGUAGAGCGCUUCGUUCGCAACGAAGAGGCCGUGAGUUCGACUCUCAUUCGCUCCA